AAACAGCUAGCUUAUCCACCAAUAUAACCAAAUAAUAUAAAUAAAAUAGAAUAGGCCGAACACCAAAAACUAAACCAUUCUUUUACCUGAGUAUGGGAGACAGAAAAGGUUCAACCAAAGCAAUAGAAAUAGUACCGCAAGGGAAAGCUGAAAGAGAAAUGAAAUAACCCAUAUAAGUAACAAAAAGCAAAGACUAAACCUUGUACCUUUUGCAUCAUGAUUUAGCCAGUAAACACAAGCAAAGAGACCUUUAGUUUGAAACCCCGAAACCAGGUGAGCUACCCCGAGACAGCCUAUUAAGGGCCAACCCGUCUCUGUGGCAAAAGAGUGGGAAGAGCUCCGGGUAGAAGUGACAGACCUACCGAACCUGGUGAUAGCUGGUUGCCUAAGAAAUGAAUAGAAGUUCAGCCUCGUACACCUCAAAUCAAAUAAACACCAAUCAAGACACCAAGAGAAAGACACGAGAGUUAGUUAAAGGGGGUACAGCCCCUUCAACAAAGGACACAACCUUAUUCAGGAGGAUAAAGAUCAUAAUAUAUAAAACAUACUGUUCUAGUGGGCCUAAAGGCAGCCACCUAAACAGAAAGCGUUAAAGCUCAGACAGAAAAAAGUUUAUUAUUCUGAUAAAAAAUCUUACUCCCCUAAAUACUAUUAGGCUAAUCCAUGCCCCCAUGGAAGAAAUUAUGCUAAAAUGAGUAACAAGAAGGCCCGCCCUUCUCCAAGCACAAGUGUAAGCCAAACCGGACCAACCAUUGGCAACUAACGAACUCAACCCAAGAGAGCAAUGUGAACCAUAAAAAAAACAAGAAAAACCCACAACUCAACAAUCGUUAACCCCACACUGGAUUGCUAUUAAAGGAAAGACUAAAAGAAAAGGAAGGAACUCGGCAAACACAAGCCUCGCCUGUUUACCAAAAACAUCGCCUCCUGCAACGCAGCCAUGUAUAGGAGGUCCAGCCUGCCCAGUGACUACAAGUUCAACGGCCGGGGUAUUUUGACCGUGCAAAGGUAGCGCAAUCACUUGUCUUUUAAAUAGA
rnacentral:rRNA from 1 species